CUGAUAUUCUCGACGUUACCUGUUAUCUUCUUCUGUCUGUGAUUCCCGAGCUUCUUACAACAACGCUUCACAAAACCUUCCAAAGCUUCUCUUUGUUUCAAUGGAGACGCCAUUGCUCGACCUUUCUUCCCGCAACGCAUUUUUCACGCCCAAGAAUUAUUCGUUAUACUACACAAAGCCUUCCAAAUUAACCAAUUUCAGCCUCUGUUGUCCCGAUAAACCCACCACUUCCCAUCGCCGGUUCUGCGCCGAUGAAUCGCCGCCUCCGAUUCUUGAAGACACUGACGUAGUUCUAGAUUUGGUCACUGAAAAAACCCCGAACCGCCGUAGGAUUGUUCGACUUGCCUGGGAGAAGUUGGUGCGGUGGUCCAGGUCUUGGCGAUUCAAGGCAAAGACCGACGUUCUUGAGCGCACGAACAAGGUGGCUGUGCUUGGAGGCGGAUCUUUUGGCACAGCGAUGGCUGCCCAUAUUGCUGGUAGAAAGCCACAAUUGGAAGUCAACAUGCUUCUCCGUGAUCCUCAAGUAUGCCAGUCCAUUAACGAUAGUCACUACAAUAGUAAGUACUUCCCAGGGCACAAGCUACCGAUAAAUGUUAUUGCUACAACUGAUGCCAAAGCUGCUUUGCUAGGUGCUGAUUUCUGUUUUCACGCUGUACCUGUGCAGUUCAGCUCGUCCUUUCUUGAGAGCAUUGCUGACCAUGUUGAUCCACAUGUGCCAUUCAUAUCUCUAAGCAAAGGGUUGGAACUUAAUACCUUGAGGAUGAUGUCACAGAUUAUUCCCCAUGCACUGAGAAAUCCUCGACAACCCUUUGUUGCUCUUUCAGGACCUUCAUUUGCUUCGGAAUUAAUGAAUAAAUUGCCGACAGCAAUGGUAGUUGCAUCAAAGGACAAAAAAUUGGCAAAUGCAGCUCAGCAACUACUAGCUUCUAGUUAUCUAAGAAUAAGCACUUCGAGUGAUGUGACAGGGGUGGAGAUUGCAGGUGCAUUGAAGAAUGUCCUUGCGAUAGCAGCAGGAAUUGUUGAGGGGAUGAAUCUUGGUAACAACUCUAUGGCAGCUCUUGUAGCACAAGGUUGUUCUGAGAUCCGUUGGCUAGCAACGAAGAUGGGUGCGAAGCCAACGACAAUUACUGGACUCUCAGGCACAGGGGACAUUAUGCUCACAUGCUUUGUCAACCUCUCUCGAAAUCGCACUGUCGGAGUACGACUAGGGUCUGGUGAGAAUCUGGAUGAUAUAUUGAGCUCAAUGAAUCAGGUCCCCCCCGUAUGCAACAGGUUGCAGAAGGUGUAUCAACUGCUGGGGCUGUUAUUGCGUUGGCCCAGAAAUAUAAUGUUAAGAUGCCAGUUUUGACAGCAGUGGCCCGAAUUAUCGAUAACGAGCUAACACCACAAAAAGCUGUUCUUGAAUUGAUGGGACUUCCUCAGGUGGAAGAGGUCUGAUGAUACCUGGGGGCUUCAGAGAUAUUAAGGCAUUGUUAUCACAAUAAAUAUUUGGCAUGAAACCAUGAUGCCAUCAACCAUUUUACUAGAACGUUGAUCAUAAGUUCUAUGAAACUUGCCACUGAAGACCAAAGGUGAAACUAUCUUUGGUUCUCAUUAAUCAAAUUCAGUGAUUUUGAUCUUGUGAAGUCAGUCAUAAAAAAACUGCCAUCAUUCUGUCUGAUUUAUUUAAUUGUUAUGUGAAGGAUCAACAUCGGUAUCUAUCAUUUAAUGAUCAAAUGUGAUCAUGUAAUAUGAUUCAUAAUUGACUCAAAAGUUCACUGUCA